rnacentral:rRNA from 1 species
AAAUAGAUACCCGGGUAGUCCACGCCGUAAACGAUGGAUACUAGUUGUUGGAGGACUCGACCCCUUCAGUGACGACGCUAACGCAUUAAGUAUCCCGCCUGGGGAGUACGGUCGCAAGAUUAAAACUCAAAGGAAUAGACGGGGACCCACACAAGCGGUGGAGCACCUGGCUUAAUUCGAUACUGAGCGAGGAACCUUACCUGGACUUGACAUCCCGAGAAUUCUCUAGAAAUAGGGAAGUGCCUUCUGGAACUCGGUGACAGGUGCUGCAUGGUUGUCGUCAGCUCGUGCCUUGAGGUGUUCGGUUAAGUCCGUAAACGAGCGCAACCCAUGUCCUGUGUUGUAUUUCUCACAGGAGACUGCCGAUUCAAAAUCGGAGGAAGGUAUGGAUGACGUCAAAUCAGCAUGGCCCUUAUGUCCAGGGCUGCACAGGUGCUACAAUGGAUGGUACAACGGGUAGCAAUGCCGCAAGGCGGAGCCAAUCCUUAAAGCCAUCCCAAGUUCGGAUUGGGGGCUGCAACUCGCCCUAGUG